rnacentral:lncRNA from 1 species
CCUGUGUCCAGUGCGAGUCUGGAUCCGAGGGCGAUGGGACAGUGCACCGCAGGAAGAAGAGGAGGACGUGCAGCAUGGUGGGAAACGGGGACACCACCUCCCAGGACGACUGUGUCAGCAAAGAGCGCAGCUCCUCCAGGAUUAGGGACACUUGUGGAGGCCGGGCUCACCCCUGAGCAGAUAAAGAGACUCUCCCUGAGGUGCUUUCAGCGUAAGCUUUUGGCAGCCACCCAACUCAGUUCUCGCGUCUUCUGCUCCUACCUUCUCCUCUGUCUUCUUUGAAUUUGGAUAUUCCUUCCCUGGUCCAAGCUCCUAUCUUCGGUCAAAUGCUGUUUUUACUGCUUCCUAAGGAUAGAUUAUCAAGAAGUUUAACAGCUCGGCCAGCUCAGUGAAACACUGAAGCUAACGGGAUGUUGGGUAAGAAGGUUCUGUGCUGUCUCAUUGAAAACCGAGCCGGUCAACCACAAGGCUGGCGGGGUGUGAUCCUUGUAACGUCUUGUGUCUGUUACCUCACGGAUGUCGGUAAGGAGUUUCCACAGAGCCAGCUGUGUACCACAGAGACUGAGAGUGGUGAGUGGACUUUGUGAGCCAAUUAUGUGUCGGAAGGACUUGGAGUCUGCCCUUCUUCCUGUAUGUCAUCAUCAGCCAACAGAUGCAUUCAGUGGCAGUGACCCAGCACCAUCACCAUCACCCACUGCUCAUUCUGUCUUAGGAUUCCUUAUCUUUUUCUCCAUCAUCAUAGAGACUGUGAAAUUUCAGGGGUGUUUUUGUACAGUGUAUUUUUUUGUGGGGGGGUGAUACAUUGGGGUUUUUUGUUUGCAUAGAGUGGGAAUGGUGUGCAAUGUGCUCUUACCACAGAACUUAAAGUAUGAAUAGGCUCCAUUCUUCCGCACCAUGGGAUCCAUAAGAAGUGCUCACUUUGUGAGGUACUCUGAGAUUAGCGUUCCCCAUUUGUUUGACCUACAGACGUUAAGUGGGUGACUUGUGUUACACACGGGGAGUAAAUUCAGAGAUGGCACCUGUAGUCUUUGCAGUCUGUUGAUACUUCUAAAUAACUAACUGGAUGACUUUUUGGGGAUUGACCGGCAGAUGCCAUCUCUUGCCCUCUUGAUUCACCUGCUUGCCUUAAUUUGUCCCUAAAUUCAACUAAACUUUAAUAAGAGGGGUUGUCAAGGCCAUGGGGCACACUUGGAAGCACUGCCUGGGCUGGAGCGUUGGAGGCAUUGGCAGGCAGGUGGGAAGGAGCUCUCACUGCAGUGUUCACAGGCAGGGAGGCUGUGUGUGGAUGCGUUAGAAUUGUGUGCUGUUGCCUCUCAAAAUAUCCACUAGAAACAGGUGUAACCAGGAAAAUACAGGUCUCUGCUCACUGUUAUUAACAGACUGUCAUUUCCUGACAUUGGGUCAUGUGGCUUUACUCUAGGAGACUGGUUCUCUGUUUUUGUCUUAGUUCAAUUUUCUGCAUCCUCAAAUGCCAACCCCAGUAUGUGGCUGGGUAGGUAGAACUGUGCUGCCUGCUUGCCAUGGGGGCUGCUCUCCCUCCUUACCCCCACGCCCACAGCCCCCUUGGUUCUGUGGUGGGCACGGGAUGUGUUUGGGUGUGAGUAAAGUCAAACUCUGAAUGUAUAAUCUCUUGGUAGUAAUAUCUGAGUGGUGUUGCUCCUCCUGCUUUUUAAAAAGACUUUUCUUGCCAUCUACAAAAAGCUUUUUUCUUUUUCCCAGCAUUGCUCCUGUGCUGCCACACUUGCCCUUUUUCCUUACCUUCCUUUCAGUUUUCUAUCAACAACAACUCUAAACUUCAGUUUAAAAUAAAAAACAGCCCAAAAAGGCUCUUUGCCACCAGGGGGCGUGGUAGGACACGUUGCCAGUGGUCUGGAUAGGGGAGCAGAAAUUUUGAAUUUUAAAAAUUAGCCACCAAGGCCAGGUGCAGUGGCUCAACACCUGUAAUCCCAGCACUUUGGGAAGCUGAGGCAGG